GCAGAUGUAAUUCAAUGGCAGAAUGUCAGCUUCCCAAGCUGAAUACGCGGGUUCGAUUCCCGUCAUCUGCUCCA
rnacentral:tRNA from 1 species